ACCUCCUGUUUCCCUCUUCUAAGGACCCUUGUGAUUUCCUAAGGCCUGCCCAGAUAACCCAGGAGAAUAUCUGCAUCUCCGAAUCUUCACUUUAAUCACAUCUGCAGAGGUUUUUCACCAAGUAAGCGCUGCCUGCUUCAUUCACAACUUAAUUUUGAGUAAGGCCCGUGGAAGAACAAGCACAGUAUUAACUGAGUGCCUGUUCUAUGUCAAGGUGACACUUACUAAUGCUCACUUAUGGUAGGUGUUAUUGCUAGCUCACCUGGACUGAUGGCAAAUGGAAGCCUGAGAAGUCGAGUCACUUGCUCAACAUGGCACAGGCAGUAAGUAACAGAACAAACCAAGACUUGGAUCCUUGUCUCUGUGAUUCUGCCAUCCCCAUACUUAACUGUGGCAUUUCCUGCCUCUUGUCUAACAAAGGGAAGAGAAAAGCUAACUCAGGAUAGAAGGGGAAGGUUGUGAGAUAAUCGACCUGUUUUCCUACCUCUUAAAUGAGCCCUGUGGAAGCCCUGCCUGGUAUUCUUGUGUUCAUCGUUGUUCACCCUUUCUUUGCUUUCUCCUGCUCCUCACUAACUGAAUCCUUAGUUGAGGCCUACAUGGGCCUAAAUACCUAUCUAUGAGUUUUCUUGAGCUUAAUUCUUAUUUCCCUGUGUCCUAGAAACAGGAGAGAAUCUAGCUACCCAGUGACUAAUGGCUAUGCCAUCAGUGACUCUUAUUGAUGUUGUUGUUAUUUUAAUAACUCUGAAGCCAAACCAACAGGAUUUCCCAGUUAAUAAAAGCCUAGUUGAGAACUA